CGGUUUCAGAUCAUCAUUUAACGCGUUCGAUUGGACCCGUUCGAUUGGACCCGCUCGAUUGGACCCGGAAACGUCUCUCCUCUCAUCCAGACUUUAAUUGGUUGAGGUCUAAAUCGUGUCGACAAUUUGAGGUGCCCGAUCGUUUGUUCGUGUCUGGAUUCGAUAAUCAGGAUGGAGGAUAUUCGUUCUGGAACGGAUAAAACAACAGAUACAAGAUGCAUGCAUGUGUGAAUGAAGUGAAUGAGACCCUUGGAAUUUUUUUUCCUCAUUUCUGAGGUUUUUUUUGUAUACGUAUGAGACCUUUGUGAAGUAUGAGAAAGUAUGAGACCCGUGAACUUUUUUUCCUCAUUCCGGAAUGAGGUUUUUUUUAUAUACGUAUGAGAAUGAGACCCUGUUAAAGAAGAGCACACUCUGCAAGGCAGCAGAGUGUGCUCUUCUUAGGCAAAGGCUAUGAAGAGCACACUCUGCAGCACAAACAAACAUAAAUUAUAAUUUAAUAUUUAUAUUUAAUAUUAUAUUUAUAUAUUUAUAUUUAAUAUUAUAUUUAUAUAAUUUAAUAUUUAUAUAUAUUUAAUUAUAAUUAAUAAACAAACAUAAAAAAACACUUAUUACAUAUUGUUAUUAUUAUUAUUGUUAUUAUUAUUUUUUCUCUUAUUUAGGUCAUUGCACUUUAUUAGUGAAUCACUAUUUGCAAUGACCUGUGUUUUUGUAACAUCUGUAACACGAAAUAUAUUGUUAUUGUUGUUGUUCUUUACAUCUGUCAAUCUGUUUCAUCAAUUAGUGCAGUAUCAACAUUAAUCAAAAGAAGAUAAAGUGGUACUAAAAAACAUCUACUUCUGUUUUUUGAAAUUUAAAAAAAUCCUUAACUACUUGGACCAAAAUAAAUGUAAUGCAGCAAAGAUGAAUUUUUAAUGAUGCUAAUACUUGGAUUACUGACAGCUGAUCUUGCUGACAGGUGAAUCAAUUGCAAUUGAUGGAAUAUCUUUAAAAGACAGAAUUCACAAAAUAAUGCUGAGGUAAUCUAAAUAAUUUUUAAUUAUUCAGGAGUUUUAAGGAUUAAAUUAUUUAGCAAAAAAAUUGUUUGAUAAUGAGUUUAAUUUAAAUUAAAAAAAAAAAAUUGAUUUUAGUUCUCGCAUAAU